rnacentral:rRNA from 1 species
UACGUAGGGUGCAAGCGUUGUCCGGAAUUAUUGGGCGUAAAGAGCUCGUAGGCGGUCUGUCGCGUCGGAUGUGAAAACCCAGGGCUCAACCCUGGGCCUGCAUUCGAUACGGGCAGACUGGAGGUAUGCAGGGGAGAACGGAAUUCCUGGUGUAGCGGUGAAAUGCGCAGAUAUCAGGAGGAACACCGGUGGCGAAGGCGGUUCUCUGGGCAUGUCCUGACGCUGAGGAGCGAAAGUGUGGGGAGCGAACAGG